GCUACAACAAAUCGAUUCAAACAGAACAACAACAAAAAAAAAAUAACAAAAAAUCAAAUCAAAUAAAAUAGAAUUAGCAUUUCUUUUUUUUUUUCUUUAGUUUUUUUUUAGUUUUGCGCUUAUGAAUGAUUACACAACGCGUGGCCCAAUAAAUGGCGACAAAUGCGUUCACAUGCUUAAUUACAUGCACUCACUCCCACUCACACAGACAGACACCCCCUCCUCCACUCUCACUCCCUCUCUCUCUCUCGCUCUCUCUCACUCUCUUGCACUCACAAUAUUAACUGUUUGUUUUGAUCAGUUUUAUUGCACAUUUACUAGCACUGGACGGACACAAGGGGCCAACAGACGAAACCGAACUCGAGCGUCGUCUCUGCCACAGCUGCUGUUGCAGUCGACGUCACAGUCGCUGCUUUGCUUGCGUGUUUUUGUUGCCGCAGUUGGAGGCGCGUUGCACAUGUCCAAAGGGCUGAAGAUUUCAAUUCGAGGCUUGUUCUCCUUUUCUAGCGCACACAACACACAACACCAGCGUGCAGGCAGGCAGCCAGCCAGCCAGACAGACGCACUGUCUCCGCCUCUAGCGGGUACAUUUCAAUGUCAACUAAGGUUAAAAGUAAUACAGUUGGCGAGGGGAGUUUGCAUUGCACAUACACCGGACGCACGAACAGCUGCUGCAGUGUUGAAACGUUGCGGGCAUCAUUAACUUAGUUGGUAUUUAGCAAUAUUAAAUAGGCAAACAAAACCCUGUAUUUUGGACACAACAAUCACAAUACUACCGAAACAUCUACAAGUACCACAAAUAAAACAGCUAUCGAUAUCGAGUGCACAAGCACCGAUAUGCCGAUACAAUAACGCAA